rnacentral:tRNA from 1 species
AGCCCGGUCGUCUAGGGGCCAAGGAUACCGGGCUCUGGAUCGGCCCCUGACGGUCGAGGGGAUACCCGGUGACGGCGGUUCGAAUCCGCCCCGGGCUA